rnacentral:rRNA from 1 species
AACGAACGCUGGCGGCAUGCCUAACACAUGCAAGUCGAACGAGACCUUCGGGUCUAGUGGCGCACGGGUGCGUAACGCGUGGGAAUCUACCCUUGGGUUCGGAAUAACUCAGAGAAAUUUGAGCUAAUACCGGAUGAUGUCGCAAGACCAAAGAUUUAUCGCCCAAGGAUGAGCCCGCGUAGGAUUAGCUUGUUGGUGAGGUAAAAGCUCACCAAGGCGACGAUCCUUAGCUGGUCUGAGAGGAUGAUCAGCCACACUGGGACUGAGACACGGCCCAGACUCCUACGGGAGGCAGCAGUGGGGAAUAUUGGACAAUGGGCGAAAGCCUGAUCCAGCAAUGCCGCGUGAGUGAUGAAGGCCUUAGGGUUGUAAAGCUCUUUUACCCGGGGAUGAUAAAUGACAGUACCGGGAGAAUAAGCCCGGCCUAAUCCGUGCCAGCAGCCGCGGUAAU